UUGGAAAUGGAUGUGAUAGCUGCACUUAAUUUUUACCCUAUUAGCAGCUAGGAACUGUAUGUCACGUGGGGGGGGAAGAAAAGACUUCAGGGGCUUUCCAGCUGUUGAAAACAGAUGGCUGUAAACAAAAGACUUAAGAGCUAAUACUUAUAUUUCCAAAAGCCUUUGCUUUGUUCAGGUCACAGCUCUGCUGCUGCAGUGGGGGGAGAGAUUGCAAAGUACAGCUCGUUCCCAGUCAGUGCUAAUCUUGGAGAUGAAGAGCACCUUUGUCUGAAGAGUGCCACCAGUGCUGUUUGGGGUGACCCACUGAGGUAUUUGUGUGCACAGGAAGACAGAAGUUUGCAUUAAGUGUGCAUUUAGCUUGUAAGCUGCCUGACCACCUCACCCUGUGAAACCAAUGUAUACCUUUGUUGCUGAGUCUCUGUGCUCACUGCAAGCGUUUCGUGAUGUGUUUUAAGCUGAGGAGUCAUCCCGGCCCACCAGCUGCAAAAUGCCUGGCCGAG
ensembl:lncRNA